rnacentral:tRNA from 1 species
GGGCAAUUAGCUCAGUGGUAGAGCGCUUGCUCGACACGCAAGAGGUCAGUGGUCCGAUCCCACUAUUGCCCA